ACAAAGCUAGCUUCAGUAUGAUGCCAAAUGCUUCUGCAGAAUACUCUCCAUUGAGUUUAGGGUCUGCAAAUUCUGAAAUAUCGCCACCUCUAGCAGAAUCUUUGGCCUGAAAAUCCAAAUCCAUGGAUGAAUUAUGUGACAUUGGUCUGUGAAAAUUGCUGUGAAGGAGCCUUUGUCCUGAUAGAACUUGCAACAACACUAUGCCAAAGCUGUAAACAUCUCCAGAGGCAUUCACAUGGUGAUUUGUCCGAUACUCAGGAUCUAUAUAGCCAAAUGUUCCUCUCACUUCGGAGCUCACAUAGGAUUGAUCCACUUCCAUAACCUUGGACAACCCGAAGUCUGAAAGUUUUGCUUGAAAAUUGGCAUCAAGAAGAAUGUUUGCUGGCUGAUCAUAAACCAUACAUUACAAAGAAAUCCACCUGGGUAGGUUUGUAGAAACUUGAGGCCUCUUGCACUAUCAACAGCAAUCUCUAGUCUUUGAAUCCAUGAAAGAACUUUAUCAUAGUCUGUCACAGUUAACUAAUCAGUUCAAGAACUUGUAUGGACAGAGGAAGCUUAGAAGGAAAAAUAAUUACCAAAUAGCCAAUGUGACAGGCUUCCAUUGCAGCACAGUUCAUAGACUAGGAAGCAUUCAGAUUCAUUGUUUUCGCAGUAUCCGAGCAGCGUAACAAGGUUCGGAUGUUUAACAUGGGAAAGGCUUUUCACUUCUCUAACAAAUGUUUCCAUGUAACUUCCAUUGGUAAUAUGUUUCACUGCAACAUGUAGACCAUUGGAGAGUAUACCUUUGUACACUUUCCCUGGAAUUGAAACAAAAAAUCAAAAAUGGAGAUUUUUUUCAUUUCAUGUUACAGGUUUUAUGAUUCAUGAAUAAUAUUAUUAUCUCAGCUUAAUAUG